rnacentral:rRNA from 1 species
UACGAAGGGGGCUAGCGUUGUUCGGAAUCACUGGGCGUAAAGGGUGCGUAGGCGGGUCUUUAAGUCAGGGGUGAAAUCCUGGAGCUCAACUCCAGAACUGCCUUUGAUACUGAAGAUCUUGAGUCCGGGAGAGGUGAGUGGAACUGCGAGUGUAGAGGUGAAAUUCGUAGAUAUUCGCAAGAACACCAGUGGCGAAGGCGGCUCACUGGCCCGGUACUGACGCUGAGGCACGAAAGCGUGGGGAGCAAACAGG